GGUGAAGGGCACGCCAUCCAGAGCCUUGGCACACACCACGCAGCGGAAACAGCCGGGAUGAUAGGAGUUCCCCAGAGCUUGCAAGAUCUGAGGUACACUAAAUGGAUCACUAAAGCGAGGAAAGUCAAGAAAAUAUGGAGUAGGUCUCUCCUUUGCAGCUCUUCUUGUAGACACGUAAGAGGUCCACUAUUGGUAAUGAUGUUCUAACAGUAAUCCAGUGGUUUUUGAAAGCCCCAGUUGUCGUAUGAUUCAGUUGGAUGAAAAAUUUUGCCUCAGUUCUCUUUACACUGUCUCGGUUAUCGUACAAUAUUGCUCUUAACAAACUUCUAUUUUACCCUUUGGCCACUUUUACCCACCAUUGCUGGCUUAUUCAACCAACCUCUAUCACAAACCCAACACCAAAUCUCACGAUACUGUAGUUUACAAAAACCUGGAAGUCAGUGUCCCCCAGUGUGCUAACUAGCACAGUUACACCACACGUCUCUCUCUUUUUUUUUUAAACUUAUCCCAGCUACAAAACAACCUACCAGAGAAUGAAGAAAGUUGUACGUGCCAGCACUUUGAUCAGGACGGUGAGAAACACUUAAAUUCAAGAAAGAACUCCUAGCAAAGUACGAAGGUGCCGUCCGUGUGGCUCUGUCCUCUCCUCCCUUGCGUCUUUAUCACAACAAGAGUCUUCAAUCAAGAGGGAAACAUUCCAGUGGAAGUCUGCCGUGGGAAACCAGAGAGAACGGACGUCAUCGCAUGUCCCAAAAGACUGUGUGGUACAGUGGAACCUUGGUUACCAUCAUUAAUUCGUUCAAGAAGGUCAGACGCUAACCGAAUCAGUUUUUGCCAUAAGAAAUCUGCCUUUCAAAAAAAAAAAAAAAAAAAGAACUUAUUAUUAUAAUGCAUUUUUAUGAUCUUGUAGUGUUAUUUAUUACGUAUUAUUGAAAUUGAAGUGAUCGGUUACGUAUGUAUAUAUUUAUUCUUAUUAUAUUUUCUUAUUUUUCUCAUAUUUUCCUUUGUUUUAUUUUCAAGUGAUUACAUUUAUUAGGACACUUUUGCAAAGCUGCUGGAAUCGUGAUUUUCUCUUGGAGAUAAAUAAAGUAUUUAUCUAUCUUUCAAGCAGCUCUGUUUGUUCUUCUGCUAUUAUCUUUUAAGUAAUAUAUUCUAGAGCGAGGUUCCACAUCGGUAUGCAUCACAGCCGAGGCUAAGAUGAAAGCUAAGCGGCUAACAAGGAAGUGGAGAUUCACGCCUUCGGUACUUUCUAUUAUCAUGGGAAACGUGAAUUCACUACCAAACAAGAUCAACGAGCUGACAAAAAACGUCAAGACCUUCAGCGAGUGCAGCUUAUUGGCUUCACUGAAACAUGGCAACAGCUAGCGUCCUGGAAACUACUGUGGGGAGCUAGCGGACUUUAGCAGAGUCAGAGUGGACAAGGACACGAGAGCCCGUGGAAAUAAGGUGGGCUUGCACUGUAUGAACAAACUGUAUGUGUCAUCCUGGCCAUGUGACCAUUAAAAUGUCCAUGUAUACAGUAUUUUUUAAUAAUCGGUUUUCAUUUUCGAGAAAAAACCUGUUACCGAUAUCCCAUUUUUAUGCCAAUAUCGGUAGGCUGUUGUUAUCAGGCAUCCCUACAAAAAAGGGGGUUGUUUUACAUCAAAAUAACGAUUUAUUUACAAAUAUAACACCAUCAACUAUUUACAAUUUCCACAUUUGGAACUGAACUGUGUGUGUGCAUGCAUUAAAAAUGUCCCUACAUUGCGUAACCUUCUGCACGCUACACUCCUCCACACUGUCUCACUUCCUCCUUCGGGUCAUGUGUGAUUUUACCCUUCACAUGAUCCCUGCCGGGCUGUUAUCAAAUGCACUCAUGCCACCUUGUGGACGUUUUUAAGGCUUAAAAUUGCUCUGAAGUGAACUGCACUAGUGGGUAGUUGUGUCAUCACCUUUUUGCCUCUCGCGCAAAAAAACGUAAAAGACGUACAAAUACGUUGUUGGCAUUGGGUGUCCAGGAUUAUAAAAUAAAACAUAAAUACAUCAUCUGUUCCAGUCAAAAAUGUUAAAACAAAACACAUAUUUAUAGUUUUACUAUUAUAGUUUGACAUGCAGAAAACAAUUGCAAAAGCAUAUAAAUGAUGAAUGAAAAGGAUUCAUGAGCAUUUAAGGUUAUUUUUACCUUCACUGAAGACAUACUUCUUGAUUUGAGUGUUGCCAAAGACAGGGAGUGGCAGGAAGACACCACACGGACACCACUUUCCAGUUAUUUCUCAACUCAGGAACCCAAAAUGGAGCCAAAGAGAGUUUUAAGUGCCAGCAUUUUGAUUAAAAGAAGGUGAAAAUCACUGCUGAAUUGAACUGAAGAAAUGCCGUAAAUAGAGCGGUAUAUAAGCCGCAUCCGCCCAAUUUAAAGAGAAAAAUAGAUUUGUACACAUAUGGACCGCAUCGGUCUUGAAGCCGCAGGUAUCACAACAUGGGAUAUUUAGUACACAAGAUUUUUUAAAUUUUUAAUUAAACCAAUGCCGAACAUGGCGUGUAACACGGCUAGUUAAACAGUAGCCCAAAAAAGUCAUUCAGCGCUGUCCUCGUCUUCCUCCAGGGAACUAAAACCACUAAAGUCCCAACCCCACAAUUCCCUCACCACAUACGCCGCCAGACUCUCUCCCUCUUUUAUUGUCGCUCCCAGCACCACCCCCGCGCAAGGCAAAUCAGCCCCGAGCCCUUGCUGUCCUCCCUAGCGCCUAGCGGCCCAGCCCCUUGAAACCCGCCGGCGACAGUGGACCUCCCGACGGCGCUCCACGCUGCUAGAGCGAUUGCCUUCAACGUGAAAGCCUCAUCGCAUGCACCUCUCCACGCUUUCCCCAUGAGUGGUGAUGUGGGGAUCAAUACUGAAAUAUCAAUACCGCCGAUACCAGAUCUUUAGGCUGGAAAAUUGAUUGGUAAUAUAUCGCAAUAGCGAUACUUUGAUACUUCAGUCAUUUGAGGGAAUGUAUAUCAUUAACAGAACGACUGAGUUAAAUUCCUGAGACCUUGUCUAAAAGAUAUGCAGUUGAAUGCAUUACUCCGAUGUCUUAUAAUCUGUAUCUUAUGGAGGUAUGCUUUCGGAUCAGUAUCACCAAUACCAGCCUGAAUUUUACUCGGAAAAGGAAAUCAGUGGUAUCGCACAUCACUAAUGAUGAGGGCGCUCGCACGAAGCACAAAAUGGCUGCUCCAAAGCACACCAAAUUGCUGAGUUUCAGGUGACGUCACAUGUUGGCUGUUGUCAGCCCCACCUCAGAGAGAAAAGAAUAAUAAGCGUAUUUGUAACCACAAGUCAUCAGACACAAAUCAGAGCAAAAAUACCGCAUACACGCACCAUUCUUGCAUGUGGAAAUCGUUCAAAUCUGUAUUUUCGCAAACGCUAUUAUUAAGGUAGUCCAUCAUAACGGCAAAAAAGUUCAGGAAACAACCAAAAAAAAACGCAGAGAAGCCACCUUUGUCAGCAUUUGCUAACCAGCUGUCGCUCUUGUUGAGUGGAGCCAAGUAAACAAAAAUAAAAGUGAGCAACAAAAAUAAAAAUAAAAAAAAAAAAAACAGUAUUUAUACCAAAUAUUUCAGACAUUGGUCGAAAAUGUGAAAUGCAGCCACCUGGAGGAAUAUCCAGCGAGGCUUGAAAGUGUGGCUUCAAGCUUCUAGCAGCCCAGAAACUGCGUAUUUGGUGGAAGAAUGCAAACUGACAUGAUAGAAGCAUUAUUUUCAUGAUGUCUUAACGCUGACAUAAGCUCUCAGUGCUUUUCGAUCGUCUCGUUUUCAACUAUUUUCUGUUUUCAUGCAUCACACCAUGUAUACUCAACACAAUUGG